UUGUCAUUUGUUUGCAGCCUUGUUCCCAGCUACUGAUCCCAAGACUGACCACCUUUUCUGUCCUUGUUUGAAGCCGGUGCCCGGAGCUGUGCCAGUGACCCCGUGCAAAGUCGCGCCCCAGGCCGGGCGCCUGAGGUCCCCUCCGCGGGCCAGCGUCUACCUGGUAGGACCGGCGGCGCUGCAGGGCCGCGCACAGUUCUCCCGGCCUCGGGGGUCUGCGGGUCCCACCGCUGUUCCCACUGUGCGUGCGCUUUACCCUCGGACGACCCGGGAACCGGGAGCCCAGCCCCGAGCUGGAAGGCCUUUCCCGGGAGCCCCUCUGCCAGGGCGGAGUGGGGGCACGGCCCGCGGCCUCCCAGUUCCAGGACCGAAGGGGAGACCCCAAACUCCACCACCCCGAGUCCGCCACCCCUCCAGGGACUGCCUUCUGUGCAGAAGGCUUGGGUUGGUCCUGAGCCUCGCAGAGACCUUCCUGUCGUUUAGAGGUUACUGUUUGAGAAGGAUGAAAGCGCUUCCUGCGGAGGGAGGGAGGGUCGGGCUGCAGAGGCCACCUCCCUGGUGUCUAAGGGAUUCCUCUCGCCACAUAAAACCAGAUCACAAAAAAUUCUCGUGUCUGCUCUAGAAUUGUCUCAUUUCUCGGGAUGGGGGCAGCCAGACAAGUGCUGACGCAGGCUACUUUCUUCAUCAAACAGCCCCCAUCGGGCUUUCUAGAGUCUUGGCCAUGUCUGGUUUUAUUCUCGACUUUGUUAAGGAGUGAACUUCUGGCCAGGGGCUCCAGGCCAGAACGAGUCACGGGUGCCAGGGGCCAGGCGCUCAAACUGCGCUCUGAGCUCUCUAUCCAAUCAGGUCUCACAAGAGGAGACUGACCGAGGUGGAUCUGGAGGGUCCAGUUUACCUGCCCCUCAGGAAGUCCCUACCCCCUUUGGAGCGUCCAAUCCAGGCUCUCCUCCUUUCUUCACCUUUUCUGUCUGUGAAACAGCCUCCCCAGCUCAGUUGCUUGAUUCUAGAAUUAAAAAAUAAAAGCCAUUUAGAUCCACAAAUUCAUUGUAAUUUUGACUUCUGACAAACUGAAAAUGGAAUGGAAAAUGAGACCCUCAAAUUCUAAGUCCUGGGUGCCUGAAGGGGUUCUCCUGGGCUCACUGUUUAAAAAAGCUACCUGACAUGUCCACAGGUGGUUCCCAAAUCUGGCCUUAUCAGUUGGAGACGUGCCCCAAUGUCUAGGACAUGAAUUUAUAUUUGAAAGCGGUGAGGGUCCUGAUGUCUGUUUUCUGCUAAACUGGCAAAUACGUGUUUUACCACAAGCAGGAAAUCCCUGUGUGGCAAUCAGUUUAGAGUAUGACAAUUCAAGACUCCCCAGGUCAAAGGAGAUACAAUUAGAAAAUGACUUUUUAGGGAAAGGUGUCUUGCUCUUUCCUCCCAAUGUCCUCAAACCCGUUGGCCCCUCUUUUCUCCCUUAAAGCUUCCUUGUUGCCACCCCAAGGUCCCCUAUAGUAACCUCGAGUAACUCUAGCUACCAACGAGAAAAGAACAGUCUGCCUGUCUUCAGAUGGUCCCCUUUAAUUUUAAACCCAUUAUUUAGGGACAGAGACAGUUGAAGGUGUGGUGGAACUUUGUGGGUGUCAGUUGCUAUUGAAAGUAACUCUUCUCUGAACAGAUGAGCUGCAGGUUACCCAGACAUUACACUCCAGGGCUUAGUAAGAGGACUUCAGUGUUUUAAAUCAUCCACUGAUGUAUCAUUUGUCAUUAAAAAUAUCAGUCUGAUAUAUUUGGUCUCUUUGAAUGUAAGAUUAUAGGGUUGCAGAAUGAACUGACCAGAUGCGGAAUCUUGAAGAACAUGAGUGACCAUGAAGAGUUUUGGAAGCUGGUUCAAGAGGAAGGUCGCGGAACAGAAAUCAAAGAAAAGCUCCAAAAGAUAAAAUUUAAAAGUUUGUAUAUUUCCUGUUUUUUAUUGUGGAUUUUUAUAAUUGCCUUAACAUUUU
rnacentral:lncRNA from 1 species